UACCUCAAAUCAGGUAGGACUACCCCCUGAACUUAACCAUAUCAUUAAGCGGAGGAAAAAAAACAAACAAGGAUUCCCCUCUUAACUGCGAGUGAAGCGGGAAAAACUCAAAUUUUUAAUCUGGUGGCNCUUGGCCNCCCCAGUUGUANUCUANAAAAGUGUUACCCCUGCUGGACCGUGUACAAGUCUCCUGGAAUGGGGCGUCAUAAAGGGGGAGAAUCCCCUCUUUUACACGNACAACCACUGCACUGUGGGAGUGCUCCCCAAAA
rnacentral:rRNA from 1 species